GACAGAGGGGGCAAGCGUUGCUCGGAAUCACUGGGCGUAAAGGGCGCGUAGGCGGGAUGGCAAGUCAGACGUGAAAUCCCUCGGCUCAACCGGGGAACUGCGUCUGAUACUGGGUGGCUUGAAUCCGGGAGAGGGAUGCGGAAUUCCAGGUGUAGCGGUGAAAUGCGUAGAUAUCUGGAGGAACACCGGUGGCGAAGGCGGCAGUCCUGGACCGGCAUUGACGCUGAGGCGCGAAAGCCAGGGGAGCAAAGCGGGAUUAAGC
rnacentral:rRNA from 1 species